CCCGCCCCUAUGGCCCGAAGGAGCAUAGGAUGAGAACUAUCCCGGGGACCAAUCAGCGUGCGCGCCCGGCGUGGACGAGCCCCCCUCUCUGCACCCAAUCACCUGCGACCGCGCCCUACAAAACAUCCGGCCAGCGCCGCCCAAACCCCCAGGUGCCCUGACUCUGGCGCUCCCACCUGGUGAUGACCGACGGAGCGCUGACAGGCACGUCCAGGGCAUGGCUGCUCCCCCGCGCCCCGCCCUCCCCAAACAUCUCUGACGGACGGUUGGCUGCAGCCCAGGAAGCACCGUCGCGCCGCGGCCUCCCUCGCCAGCCUAAACGCAAGCCCGCUCUUUCCAGUGCAAUAAAACGAGAUGUACAACAACUGUCUUCUGUG